rnacentral:sRNA from 1 species
CAGGCCGGUCUUCUGACUUGGCGUCAUCCGUCUGCCGCAGCCUUCCCGGCAAAAGCCAGUGGCAUGAUGAAGCGGCGGGCGUCGGCCUUACAGCGUUGGGCACGUUCCGGUCUUGCACCGGAUUCCCGAUUCUCCCGCGUGAAAG